rnacentral:rRNA from 1 species
AGUACUACUGGCUCAGGAUGAACGCUAGCUACAGGCUUAACACAUGCAAGUCGAGGGCAGCAUUAGAUUAGCUUGCUAAUUAGAUGGCGACCGGCGCACGGGUGAGUAACGCGUAUCCAACCUUCCCCCUGCUCAGGGAUAGCCCGGUGAAAACCGGAUUAAGACCUGAUAGUUUCACUAGAUGGCAUCUGACGGUGAAUAAAGGUUUCGGCAAGGGAUGGGGAUGCGUCUGAUUAGCUUGUUGGCGGGUAACGGCCCACCAAGGCGACGAUCAGUAGGGUUCUGAGAGGAAGGUCCCCCACAUCGGAACUGAGACACGGUCCAAACUCCUACGGGAGGCAGCAGUGAGGAAUAUUGGUCAAUGGGCGGAAGCCUGAACCAGCCAAGUAGCGUGCAGGAAGACGGCCCUAUGGGUUGUAAACUGCUUUUGUGCGGGAAUAAAGUCAGGGACGCGUCCCUGUUUGCAUGUACCGCAAGAAUAAGGACCGGCUAAUUCCGUGCCAGCAGCUGC